AUCUUUAAGUGGGGAAAGUAUGGUGAAAAACCUACACUGACCCGCAACGGUUAAAGUCCGAAAACCCACAAGGAU
rnacentral:ncRNA from 2 species